UUGGCUUUAUUGACCGUGAGGGUUCAAGUCCCUCUACCCCCAAAACUAUA
rnacentral:tRNA from 1 species